rnacentral:rRNA from 1 species
AUUGAACGCUGGCGGCAUGCCUUACACAUGCAAGUCGAACGGCAGCACGGGUGCUUGCACCUGUGGCGAGUGGCGAACGGGUGAGUAAUACAUCGGAACAUGUCCUGUAGUGGGGGAUAGCCCGGCGAAAGCCGGAUUAAUACCGCAUACGAUCUACGGAUGAAAGCGGGGGACCUUCGGGCCUCGCGCUAUAGGGUUGGCCGAUGGCUGAUUAGCUAGUUGGUGGGGUAAAGGCCUACCAAGGCGACGAUCAGUAGCUGGUCUGAGAGGACGACCAGCCACACUGGGACUGAGACACGGCCCAGACUCCUACGGGAGGCAGCAGUGGGGAAUUUUGGACAAUGGGCGAAAGCCUGAUCCAGCAAUGCCGCGUGUGUGAAGAAGGCCUUCGGGUUGUAAAGCACUUUUGUCCGGAAAGAAAUCCUUGGCCCUAAUACGGUCGGGGGAUGACGGUACCGGAAGAAUAAGCACCGGCUAACUACGUG